rnacentral:rRNA from 1 species
UGGCGGACGGGUGAGUAACGCGUGGGGAACCUGCCCUGUACCGGGGGAUAGCAGCCGGAAACGGCUGAUAAUACCGCAUAAGCGCACGAAUGUCGCAUGACAUGGUGUGAAAAAACUCCGGUGGUAUAGGAUGGACCCGCGUCUGAUUAGCCGGUUGGUGGGGUAAAAGCCUACCAAAGCGAAGAUCAGUAGCCGAGUUGAGAGACUGACCGGCCACAUUGGGACUGAGACACGGCCCAGACUCCUACGGGAGGCAGCAGCG